rnacentral:rRNA from 1 species
GCUCUAAAUGGGAGGUAAAUUUCUUCUAAAGCUAAAUACUGGCCAGAGACCGAUAGCGCACAAGUAGAGUGAUCGAAAGAUGAAAAGCACUUUGGAAAGAGAGUCAAAUAGCACGUGAAAUUGUUGAAAGGGAAGCGCUUGCAGCCAGACUUGCCUGUAGUUGCUCAUCUAGGCUUUUGCCUAGUGCACUCUUCUAUGGGCAGGCCAGCAUCAGUUUGGGCGGUUGGAUAAAGGUCUCUGUCAUGUACCUCUCUUCGGGGAGGCCUUAUAGGGGAGACGACAUGCAACCAGCCUGGACUGAGGUCCGCGCAUCUGCUAGGAUGCUGGCGUAAUGGCUGUAAGCGGCCCGUCUUGAAACACGGACCAAGGAGUCUAACAUCUAUGCGAGUGUUUGGGUGUCAAGCCCGAACGCGUAAUGAAAGUGAACGGAGGUGGGAACCUUAGGGUGCACCAUCGACCGAUCCUGAUGUCUUCGGAAGGAUUUGAGUAAGAGCAUGGCUGUUGGGACCCGAAAGAUGGUGAACUAUGCUUGAAUAGGGUGAAGCCAGAGGAAACUCUGGUGGAGGCUCGCAGCGGUUCUGACGUGCAAAUCGAUCGUCAAAUUUGGGC